rnacentral:misc_RNA from 1 species
AACGCACCUUGCACGCGCUGGGGAACCAGCGCGUAUGCCUGUUUGAGAAUCGCCUACACCUUGGCCGCCAGCUGUGCGGCUGCGUUGGGGGUCAGGCCUUGGCGGUCCGUCCUCCUAAAUGGAGCAGUGGGGUCCUGCAGUGUCCUCUGUGUGCUGGAGACCGGUCGAGUCUACUCACGGGGGCGCGGCAUGUGCGCGUCUGGCUUUUGCCUUUGGCUCCUGCCUCUGGCUUUUGCCUCACCGCCAGCCCCGCUAACAGCAACCAACCACAACCACGAUCUCAAAUCAGGCAAGACCACCCGCCGAACUUAA